UGGGGAAUUUUGGACAAUGGGCGAAAGCCUGAUCCAGCAAUGCCGCGUGCAGGAUGAAGGCCUUCGGGUUGUAAACUGCUUUUGUACGGAACGAAAAAGCUCCUUCUAAUACAGGGGGCCCAUGACGGUACCGUAAGAAUAAGCACCGGCUAACUACGUGCCAGCAGCCGCGGUAAUACGUAGGGUGCGAGCGUUAAUCGGAAUUACUGGGCGUAAAGCGUGCGCAGGCGGUUAUGUAAGACAGAUGUGAAAAUCCCCGGCUCAAGCCUGGGAAACUGGCAAUUUGUGACUGCAUUGGCUAGAGUACGGU
rnacentral:rRNA from 1 species